UACGAAGGGUGCAAGCGUUAAUCGGAAUUACUGGGCGUAAAGGGUGCGUAGGCGGUUGUUUAAGUCUGUCGUGAAAUCCCCGGGCCCAACCUGGGAAUGGCGAUGGAUACUGGGCAGCUAGAGUGUGUCAGAGGAUGGUGGAAUUCCCGGUGUAGCGGUGAGAUGCGUAGAGAUCGGGAGGAACAUCAGUGGCGAAGGCGGCCAUCUGGGACAACACUGACGCUGAAGCACGAAAGCGUGGGGAGCAAACAGG
rnacentral:rRNA from 1 species